UAGAGUUUGAUCCUGGCUCAGGACGAACGCUGGCGGCGUGCUUAACACAUGCAAGUCGAACGAGAAUCUGUGGAUCGAGGAUUCGUCCAAGUGAAGCAGAGGACAGUGGCGGACGGGUGAGUAACGCGUGAGGAACCUGCCUUUCAGAGGGGGACAACAGUUGGAAACGACUGCUAAUACCGCAUGAUACAUUUGGGUGGCAUCAUCUGAAUGUCAAAGAUUUAUCGCUGAAAGAUGGCCUCGCGUCUGAUUAGCUGGUUGGUGAGGUAACGGCCCACCAAGGCGACGAUCAGUAGCCGGACUGAGAGGUUGACCGGCCACAUUGGAACUGAGACACGGUCCAAACUCCUACGGGAGGCAGCAGUGAGGAAUCUUGGUCAAUGGGCGCAAGGCCUGAACCAGCCACGUAGCGUGAAGGAAGACUGCCCUUAGGGUUGUAAACUUUCUUUUAUAAGGGAAUAACGUCAGUAACGAGUUACUGAUUGCAUGUACCUUAUGAAUAAGGACCGGCUAAUUCCGUGCCAGCAGCCGCGGUAAUACGGAAGGUCCGGGCGUUAUCCGGAUUUAUUGGGUUUAAAGGGAGCGUAGGCCGGAGAUUAAGCGGGUUGGGAAAUGUAUACCCUCAACGUCGGCACUGCCGCCCGAACCUGUUUUCCUUGAAUAACCCAAAAAGGGGGCGGAAUUCGUGGGUGUACGCGUGAAAAAGUUUAAUAU
rnacentral:rRNA from 1 species